rnacentral:rRNA from 1 species
UACGUAGGGGGCAAGCGUUGUCCGGAAUUAUUGGGCGUAAAGAGCGCGUAGGCGGUCCGAUAAGUCGGCUGUGAAAGUCAGGGGCUCAACCCUUGGAAGCCGGCCGAUACUGUCGGACUAGAGUCCGGAAGAGGCGAGUGGAAUUCCCGGUGUAGCGGUGAAAUGCGCAGAUAUCGGGAGGAACACCAAUGGCGAAGGCAGCUCGCUGGGACGGUACUGACGCUGAGGCGCGAAAGCGUGGGGAGCAA